rnacentral:rRNA from 1 species
AAUGAACGUUGGCGGCGUGGAUUAGGCAUGCAAGUCGCGCGAGAAGUCAUUUAGCUUGCUAAAAGACGGACAGCGGCGGAAGGGAGAGUAACGCGUGGUUAUGUACCCUCGAGACCGGGAUAGUGUCGGGAAACUGGCAGUAAUACCGGAUAACAUCUUCGGAUCAAAUGGUGUGAUUCCGCUCGAGGAUCGGACCGCGUACUAUUAGCUAGUUGGAGGGGUAAUGGCCCACCAAGGCUUAGAUGGUUACCGGGUGUGAGAGCAUGGCCCGGCUCACUGGGACUGAGACACUGCCCAGACAUCUACGGAUGGCUGCAGUCGAGAAUCUUCGGCAAUGGACGAAAGUCUGACCGAGCGACGCCGCGUGCGGGAUGAAGGCCUUCGGGUUGUAAACCGCUGUCAGUUAGGAGGAAAUCCAUGAGGGUUCUCUCUCAUGGUUGACCGAUUUUCAGAGGAAGGACGGGCUAAGUUCGUGCCAGCAGCCGCCGCCGUAA